rnacentral:rRNA from 1 species
UACGUAGGGUGCGAGCGUUAAUCGGAAUUACUGGGCGUAAAGCGUGCGCAGGCGGUUCGUUGUGUCGGUGGUGAAAUCCCCGGGCUUAACCUGGGAACUGCAUUUGUGACUGCAUGGCUGGAGUGCGGCAGAGGGGGAUGGAAUUCCGCGUGUAGCAGUGAAAUGCGUAGAUAUGCGGAGGAACACCGAUGGCGAAGGCAAUCCCCUGGGCCUGCACUGACGCUCAUGCACGAAAGCGUGGGGAGCAAACAGG